rnacentral:rRNA from 1 species
GACGAACGCUGGCGGCGUGCUUAACACAUGCAAGUCGAACGGAAAGGCCCUGCUUUUGUGGGGUGCUCGAGUGGCGAACGGGUGAGUAACACGUGAGUAACCUGCCCUUGACUUUGGGAUAACUUCAGGAAACUGGGGCUAAUACCGGAUAGGAGCUCCUGCUGCAUGGUGGGGGUUGGAAAGUUUCGGCGGUUGGGGAUGGACUCGCGGCUUAUCAGCUUGUUGGUGGGGUAGUGGCUUACCAAGGCUUUGACGGGUAGCCGGCCUGAGAGGGUGACCGGCCACAUUGGGACUGAGAUACGGCCCAUACUCCUACGGGAGGCAGCAGUGGGAAAUAUUGCACAAUGGGCGGAAGCCUGAUGCAGCAACGCCGCGUGCGGAAUGACGGCCUUCGGGUUGUAAACCGCUUUCGCCUGGGACGAAACGGGAGUGACGGUAAUGGGUAAAGAAGCACCGGCUAACUACGUG